rnacentral:lncRNA from 1 species
AGAAAAACAAAAUAAUUAAGUGAUACAAACCAGCAAUAAAUGGAAUCGGAGAUUUCCGGGAAAAUACCGGAAACUACCGAAAUCGACCGCGCAUGUUUCUUGGCGGAAUUUGUUUGAAAAAUGGCUACUGAACAGAAUUUACCCGAAAAAUGUUUAGUUUAUUGGAUUGGUGAGAAGCUGUGGUCGAUUGUAAGCACAUCUGCGUUGAUUAGAGAAUGACAUGCCUGGCGAUUGCAUACAUACCAAAUUCCAGGGAAAAUGGCAUCCUUCGUUGAUAAUUGCAAGUGGCCAUGUGCAUUUUAGUUUUAUUCUAAAAUGAUCUGAGAUAGACCAAAAUGAUCCACAGCUGACCAAAGUGACGACGCCACUGUUGCUCCUACAGACGACAGUAUAACAGUCACAUCUCAAUACACAUGGAAAGGAGGAGGGAUGGGAGAGAGUCACAAAGGCCCUGAAUGACAAGGUUAGGAAGCAAAUAGUCAAGCUGGAAUAAAGAGGCUGUGCUGACAUGGACACAUACGUCUUGACAAAUUUCAAUGUUUUAAUAAAACUUGGAUUAAGUACUUAGUUUUGUUACAGUUAUCCUUAGGUGGGUGAAGUAAAAGUGAAAUAUA